GAUGAAGAACGUAUCGAAAUGCGAUAAGUAAUGUGAAUUGCAGAAUUCAGUGAAUCAUCGAAUCUUUGAACGCACAUUGCGCCCCCUGGUAUUCCGGGGGGCAUGCCUGUCCGAGCGUCAUUACAACCCUCAAGCUCAGCUUGGUGUUGGGCCCCGCCGCCCCGGCGGGCCCUAAAGUCAGUGGCGGUGCCGUCCGGCUCCGAGCGUAGUAAUUCUUCUCGCUCUGGAGGUCCGGUCGUGUGCUCGCCAGCAACCCCCAAUUUUUUUCAGGUUGACCUCGGAUCAGGUAGGGAUACCCGCUGAACUUAAGCAUAUCAAUAAGCGGAGGA
rnacentral:misc_RNA from 1 species